UACGUAGGUCCCGAGCGUUGUCCGGAUUUAUUGGGCGUAAAGCGAGCGCAGGUGGUUUAUUAAGUCUGGUGUAAAAGGCAGUGGCUCAACCAUUGUAUGCAUUGGGAACUGGUAGACUUGAGUGCAGGAGAGGAGAGUGGAAUUCCAUGUGUAGCGGUGAAAUGCGUAGAUAUAUGGAGGAACACCGGCGGCGAAAGCGGCUCUCUGGCCUGUAACUGACACUGAGGCUCGAAAGCGUGGGGAGUAAACAGG
rnacentral:rRNA from 1 species